GACGAACGCUGGCGGCGCGCUUAACACAUGCAAGUCGAGCGAAGCGGCGGACGGGUGAGUAACACGUGAGUAACCUGCCUUAGACAUUGGGCUAGCCUCGGGAAACCGGGAUUAAUACCAAAUGGUCUAAGAGGGACUCGCGUCGCAUUAGCUAGUUGGUGAGGUAACGGCCCACCAAGGAGACGAGGGGUAGCCGGCAUGAGAGGGUGAACGGCGACGUUGGAACUGAGAAACGGUCCAAACUCUACGGGAGGCAGGAGUGGGGAAUAUUGCACAAUGGAGGGAACUCUGAUGCAGCGACGCCGCGUGAACGAAGAAGGCUUUCGAGACGUAAAGUUCUUUUAUAUGGGAAGCGGUACCAUAAGAAAAAGCCCCGGCUAACUACGGGCCAGCAGCCGCGGUAAUAC
rnacentral:rRNA from 1 species